rnacentral:rRNA from 1 species
GUCCUUUUGAGUGUAUAUAAGGUCUGACCUGCCCAGUGAUUUAUUUUAACGGCCGCGGUAUAUUGACCGUGCAAAGGUAGCAUAAUCAUUAGUCUUUUAAAAGAGGGCUGGAAUGAAAGGUUUGACGAGGUAUUAACUGUCUCAUUUUAUUUGGAUUUAGAAUUUAACUUUUUAGUCAAAAGGCUUAAAUUUAAUUGGAAGACGAGAAGACCCUAUAGAGCUUUAUAUUAAUUAUUUUAGUUAUAAGUAUAUAAUUUUUAAUUAAAUGGGUUAUUAUUUUGUUGGGGUGACAAAAAAAUAGAACUAACUUUUUUAUUUAUUUAACAUUAAUUUAUGGUUAUUUGAUCCAUUAUUAUUGAUUAUUAGACUAAGUUACCUUAGGGAUAACAGCGUAAUCCUCUCCCAGAGUUCAUAUUUACGAGUGGGGCUUGCGACCUCGAUGUUGGAUUAAGAUAAUAAUUAGGUGUAGCCGCUUAAUUUAUAGGUCUGUUCGACCUUUAAAUUCUU